UAAGUACUCUCUUCAUCAGAAAAUAUUUGUCAUAGAAAUGAAUGUAUCUAGAUGUAUUUUAGUUCUAAAUACAUUUUUUUUAUACAUUUAUGCGACAAGUAAUUUCGGAAGGAGGGAGUAGAUU
rfam:Hordeum vulgare subsp. vulgare, WGS project CAJW01000000 data, contig: morex_contig_51821